AUUGAACGCUGGCGGCAGGCCUAACACAUGCAAGUCGAACGGUAGCACAGAGAGCUUGCUCUCGGGUGACGAGAGGCGGACGGGUGAGUAACGUCUGGGAAACUGCCCGAUGGAGGGGGAUAACUACUGGAAACGGUAGCUAAUACCGCAUAACGUCGCAAGACCAAAGUGGGGGACCUUCGGGCCUCACACCAUCGGAUGUGCCCAGAUGGGAUUAGCUAGUAGGUGGGGUAAUGGCUCACCUAGGCGACGAUCCCUAGCUGGUCUGAGAGGAUGACCAGCCACACUGGAACUGAGACACGGUCCAGACUCCGACGGGAGGCAGCAGUGGGGAAUAUUGCACAAUGGGCGCAAGCCUGAUGCAGCCAUGCCGCGUGUAUGAAGAAGGCCUUCGGGUUGUAAAGUACUUUCAGCGGGGAGGAAGGCGGUGAAGUUAAUAACUUCACCGAUUGACGUUACCCGCAGAAGAAGCACCGGCUAACUCCGUGCCAGCCGCCGCAGUAA
rnacentral:rRNA from 1 species